UAUCUUUUGCUGCUCUAAGGAGUGGCUACACACAAUACACUUAGUGGGCAUUGUUGCCUGUUUAAUGUUCAAACAACAAAAAAUGUUAGUUUAUUUGCAGUGUUGUGCUGUGCGGAGGAGCUGGUUGGGACUCAGGCUCCCUGGUGCCGGCUCUGGUGUGUGCACACAGAGCGUGCAGUGGCUGUGGCUCUGAGCAGCUACUGAACAAGGCUCUUGAGGCCACCCUGUGCUUUUGCUGCGGAGACUGUUUAGUUAGUUUGCUAGGACCUUCGGAAAACUCUUUGGUAGAGCCCAGAAGUGGGUCUCACAAGUGCUAAGUCGGUGCUGUCCCCACUGGAUGUCCCUUCUUUUACACAGAUCAACUGUUUGCUGUGUGCCAUGGAGCAACCACAGCCCAUCUCUGUUUUAGCAUCCUUGCUGGCCGUGGUCAGGUAGGCACAGUACACAGGUGUUUGGAGACCACUCCACAGGGAUGUCCAGGUCACUGGACAGGGAAGAUGCUUCAGCAGGAGCUGUGAUGACUAAGACAGGGCAGCAGCAGGGAUAACUGCAUGUCCUCCUGGGGAAGGGUGUUUCCAGUCUACUGGGGAAGGAGGACUUAUCUCUGUAGCUGCAGAGCAAGGAGAGCCUUGUGUGGGUAGGCAUGGAGCUGGGGUUCUGCUCCCCGCCUCCCCCUCCAGGCCAGACUUUGUGGCAGGGGCUCUGCGCGUCCCAUGUUCAUCUGAAUGUGGCACCACUGCAAUUUUAGUGCAACUGUAACGGGGGGGUUUGUGGCUGCUGUCACUGUAAUUAUCUGUCUGGUCAAUAAAAUGAAGGGUACUGAGUCCCGGCAGUUUGGGAGAAUGAAGACUGACUUAAUUACAGCAACCAAAUCUCUCACAUCUCUCCCGUCCACUGAAACACCAGCCUGCCUUCAUGUGCUGCCCUUUAACAGAGCUGCCUAUCAUGCAUCUAAACAAACAAGGAGGGAAGACAGAGGGGAGAUUGUUUGUCAGGGAUGUGUCUUUGCGAGGGAGGAGCAGCAAUAUCUGCAGGAGGGACUGAGGUGAAACCCAACAUCAAAGGCAAAAGGCUGUCAGCACAUUUAACUUUACAGAAACCCUUCUCCUAAUAAAAAAGGAAUGACCUCGUUACUACGGACACUAACAGUUCCCAGGAGAACACCGGGAGACUGCUGCCUGCACUUUUAAUAUUCACUUUACAAACAAAUGGGAAACCUUGAAAUAAUUUCGAUGUUGUUCUUGGCAAGUUGUUACAAUGUUGUGUCCUUAUAAAAAUCAUGUAAGAAUUUAUGUAGUGUGAGUUUACUUUUCAUCCGCUGCUUUUCCUUGCUAUCAAUCUCCCUCCUUCUCACUACGCGAGUCCUUGCGGAAAAGAUCAGGAUGCCCAAGGAGUGAGGUGCCAGCUGAGACAGCAGGUUCAGUGGGAGGCACUGUUAGGCUGGGCUUUCACUGCUGAGAGAGGGCCUGUUUCUGGAGGAGAUGCUCUAAAACUGUGUCUGGGAGUGCAGAAAAAUGCCAGUUAGUCAGCCAAGUGUCUCUACAUGUUACACGAGCGGUCUCUUUUCAUGGGUGAGGCCUUCUCCCCAAGUUACCACAGGCUAAGUGAAUAGAAAUCUUCCCUGAUGUUUCCUUUGUGUUACAUUCUCUGUAUAGUACUUGAGGUUUCCUUGACUCUUAGCAGGGGAAAAUGCUCUGUACUGGAAAUAACCCUUACAGCUGACACCUCAAGCUGUUAAGAACCAGUCCACAAACUCUUGCCUACACUUCAGCUGCUCUGCAGCCUGGGGAGUCCCCCUUCCUCUCCUGGCACCUGCACAAAUUGAUGUGUAGGAUCAGACACACCCCAACACACACAUGAAAACGUAAAUGUGCAUGCACAUAUGUAAUUUAACUCCCAUGUGCCUGUCCACAUUCACCCACAAAAGAGCUUGGUUCUGUGCAUGUCAGGUUGUUCCUCCUUACUUGUCCCUUACAGCGCCAUCCAUCCCUGGUGCAGAUUUGUUGCCAAUUCUGGCAGUUGUGUACAACACGCCUUUAUGCCUUGGGUUCAUCUUAUGUACAGCCAGCCCUGAAACCAAACUGUGGGAAAGGUGGUUCACAUUUGAAUAUCUGUGGUUCAGACUUUACCUGUUUUUCUAGACAUCUGCUGAGCCUCACUUCAUCCCAGACUCAGUUUGUCUGAGCUCAGGAUUUCUGACUAUUGCUACAAGGCAAAAGGCAAGCUCCAGCUGUUCCUCUAGGCUUUUGAGCAGAAGGAUGAAGUACAGAAAGAGGAUGUAAUGAUGGCAAGUAGUCUGUGGGAAUGAUGCCAUUCCUUGGUACUCUAGGUAUCAAAGAACCCACUAAUGAACAAUUUGCAAAAGAUACUUUUCAACCAUUUUGAAGGAAAUCACUGACUGCUGUGAGCAGGAGAGUGCAGAUGGCUUCAUGCAAGUGUGAGCUGUUGCCCAGGAGCUGGCCUUCGCAGUUGUGAGCUAUGCAAGAACCAGGAGGAGCUCUUUCUGCUUCUACACCCUCCUCCAUAGAUGUCUGGGAGUGAGUCUAAACCAACGGGCAUACCUGUCAUCUACAGCCAGGUAAUGAUGAGACAUUUUCCUUGUACCACCUGUACCAUCUCUAGCAGUCACGUGGAUCUAGCGUUUGUUUUUGUUUUUCUGAUCUUUUUUAUUCCCAAAUAUUAGGGUGGUAACGGACAAAAUCCAUUCUGAAGGUUUGUCAUUGUCAAUUUGUCAUUGAAAACCUUGACUAAAUGGUGCCUUGGAAGUGCAGAGAAGAUGCUCUUUAAAGCAUUCCAACGAGAUGCAGGCAGUCUCUGUUCCACAGCUACUUCUUUGUAAGCCAAAUUUCAUGUAGAGGGGAGCUGGAAAUUUUAUUUCCUUGGUAAAGACCUUAGAAAUCUAUGUACCAAACUCUACAAGAAAAGCCAGAUGUUAAUACAGAAAUAUGGGUCAGAUUUCUCUUUGCUUGAAUGAUGUAAAUAAGUUGUCUCAGAUAAGUGCAAAGGGAAUUAACCUGUGUUAAACCUCAGAGCCAAUGAUACAAAUCACUGAAAUGCUAUUUUGCAAAGGUCCUAAGCACUUCUAUGAAGUUUCACUUCACUGGGGUUUUAUCUUGACUUGUUCUGGCAUGUUUGCUUAUUCUCAUUCUCUGUUAUUUCAAGUUUCAUCUAAACACUAACAGGAAUUUGAAAAUAUUAAUAAAAGAGGAAGAUACUUCAAAGUGCCCACUUAUGCACAUGUGUAUAUGUUUGUUAAUAGUCUGACAUGCACCGGAAGUCUUUUUGAGUCUUAGGUGGGGCACACCAUCACAGCUCAGUUUGUAGGCUCAGAUUAUUGCAGGCAAGUGAAAAGCAGCAGGAUGGACUUGGUAAGACCAUACUCAUCAACUUCAGUGAAUUCCCAGAUAGACUUUUACAUGCACAUCUAACCUCAAGCAAAGCUGUGGCUAGGCAGUGAAUUAAAAAAUAGCCAAGUAUAUGCCCAAAAUUGCAAGGGCAAAUUUGCAUACAAAAAUCCAUGUGCUACAGUGUAAGGAAGAGUGGCUGGUAACCAGCAGUUCAAAGACAGACAUGAAAUCUUGGGUCACCACCUGGCUCUGCCACAGAUUUCCUUUAUAUCCUUGGUCAAUUCACUUACUCUCCCUGUUCCCUGUCCUCCAGCUAAGGGAAGGAUGCAAUAAUACCUUGUUAAUGGUCUUACACCUUGAGGGUGUGCAGAGGGAGGACUUGACUUUCUCUGUGUUUGUAUACUCCUGAGCAAAAAGGAGUCCAGAUUAGAACUGCCUGGGUCUGCUGCUGGUCCCUAAAGUAAUUAUAUCAAAUAUCUGGACCAAAAAUAAAACUUCACAAUGUUCGCCCAUUUGGGGCUGAAAUAUAUAUUUCAUUCAACAACCAGGAAUGUAAAGUUUGGCUAUAGUUUCAACUCCUAAUUUCUUGCUUGUUUGUUAUUUUAGGUAAUUGAAAUCAUAUUCAAAAUGCUUACCCCUUCUUGUUUCAAAUCAAGAGGGCAUCUGCUUUAAAUAAACAAUUACCUACUAAUUCAGAUUUUCUUCUGGGUCACUUUUUGGUCUUCCUUUCUCCAAUCAAAAGGUUGCUGCACAGUGGCACACCUGACAGAAGUGCUUUAGCCUAGUUAGCUGCAAUUUUCCAGAGAAACUUCUUUGCUUGGUAAUUCCUCACAAGACUUGAGGACAAAACAAGUUUUUGUAGCUGUCUGCAUUGGAGGGGAAGGUUGCCCUCCUCCUCCUUCUCUACCUGACCAUUGACUUGAAGAGUGUGGGGCACUGAAUGACCCAGCAGAGAGACAUCACCUACAAGCAUGGCGGUAAGAACAAGUGCUUUUGAUGAGAUGCUGUUAUCCUCAGAACAAGCCUUCUGCCUUUCUAGGUGGGACAGUGUGACCUCUUUAACCUCAUCACUGGAUCAGUGCUCCCAAAUUAGUGUAAGCAUCCCACCCGAAUUAAGCAAGUAGCUCCUAGCUCCCAGCUCCACAAUCCAGCCUUAGGCAUCCCCUCUUAACCUGACGCCUGUGUCUCUGUCUUCCUCCCUCUCCCCUGAAGCCCCCUGCUUGUGGGCUCCUUGAUAUUUUCCAGUCCUUCCCUAAUGAGCACUGCAGAAUUACAGCUAAUUAAGGAUGUAAAUGAUGCUGGAGAGAGGGAGAGGAUGGGAAGGGGCGGGGGGGGAGGGCAGCUACUUGCUGUGUGCAACUCUGCAGUAAAGUGUCUCCUACCUCAGCAGAAAAGUUAUCACAGGAGACAAUGUCAACUUUAUGGAGGGGGGAGGGCCCUUCGUAUGGCUCCAUACCCGCCUGCAAUAGCUGCCGCCUCUCUUACGUGUCAGCGCUGCAGAUGCUGAUGUCCUCCCUCCCAAAUGCUGCUUUGUCAGCUGGUGCUGUCACCGAGCCCUGGUCUCCCUCUCCCAUGCUUGCUGCCACCCUUGUCUGUCACCUGAGGUGAGGGACUCAGAAGACCCCAAAACCCACAGGUGUUCUGGGUAGGGGAUCUGCCAUCUCCCUCUUGCUUGCAAAGGGAUUUUGCCCUGCUGGUGUGGGUCAUCUCCACCUCCACAACCAGGGGGUUGGAGAGGAGCCCAGUGCUUGGGGUGAUGGUGUGUUUUGGCCACUUCUACUAGGCACCAGGGCACCGGCCUCUCUGUGCUGCCACCUGACAGUGCUGGCCCCUGGCCACUGCUCCCCGGGGGAGAUUAGGGAUAAGCCCCUUGUCUCUGCAGGGGUGGCUGGUGGGCUAGGACAAUGCACCCUGUGGGGUGGCACACGCUGUCAACUGGAGCUGACAGCUCAGGUCGCAUGGCCCCAACAUACUCAGUAGCUCACAUGUGUGAGCUGGUCUGGUUUGCUUUAGGAAAAGCUCCUCCUGGUGAGCAGUGCAGGCACUAGAGGAAAAUGGGGUUCAUCCGGUGAGGGGUUCAAGCCCUCCCUGGCUGUCUGCUGCUGCCCAUGCCGGGAACCAGGAGCCAGCCGGCCAGCAGCCCCCUGUCGGGGAGAGACGGCUCUGCCAGCACCGAGCAGCUGUUUGAACCCAUUCCAGUCUCGCUGGGCCCUCCCGAGCGCGUUUCCAAGCACUCAGGGUCCCCGUUGGCGUAUUUCUCUGCACAUUGCCCAGAUCAAUGAAUUGUGAAGGCAUGUUUGUCCCAGCGCCAUGGCCGGUCCGUCUGUCUGUCUGCCCACCUGGCAGAGGCAGGGCCAUGGAUCCGGGUCAAGGGGAGAUGGUAUCGGGUGACGCUGGCAGUGGCGGUGGGUUUUGUUGUUGUUUCCCUAGAUCACUGUGCAAUAUAUUCCGAUUUUUUUUCUUGUCAUUAAGCCAGUGCCUCGGAGAUGAUGAUGUAGUCCCUAUGUGGGCCGCAGAAAGCACUUCGAGCCGUGCUGGAGUCGUGCUGGGUGGCUCUGAUAGCAGAGCUAAUGGGAGCGAAUGGGAUGCAACGAACUGUUCUAAUGACACCAGCCAGGGAAGAGACAACAGUAAGAAUAAAUAAAUGUUAACUAUUUUCCUCUUCCAGACAUUUGCAUCUAUUGCCAUUAAGUUCAUUUAAAUAAGAGAGAGAGCGAGAGAGAAAGGGAAACUUACUACUACUCUUAAUAACGAGUGUCUAAAAAUAAAUUAGGAUGCUGGGAUGCACUUAAGGCAUUUUAAAAAUAAGUCUGAUUUUUUUCCCCCUUUCCUCCUUUUUUUUUUUAAGUGUUGGAGGGUUUUAAUUUGGGCCGAGUAAUUUUGGUGCAAACGCUUGGGCGCCUUUCGUUGGGAAAUUGGGAGGAAUGCAAACAAGAUUUCACUUCAUUAAACAGGGGCAAACAGUAGAGAAAUUGCACUUACUUAUGGAAAUGACUUUUAAACAUGAACAGCAUUUACUUGCAUUGCCUUGUGCUGAAUUUUUUUUUUUUAAAAAAGAUUAUACAUGUGAAUAAUUCACUGCGGGCCAAUUAGAUGAUGACUUCAUUUUUAACCUCUCUUCCUUGCCAUCUUGCUGGCUGUCCCUUUCAUUGCAAUUUCCACCCUCUUCUUUCCCUUCAAUAAAUUAAUAAAGAUCAAAUAAUCCAUCUCCCUGUGGUGCCAAGAACUAGCUUCUUGGAAAGGGUAUAAGAGGAGAAAUCAAAGGAUCACUGUCUGUGCUGAACUACUGUGGGAUGAAGCAGGAAUAACUCUGUGGGAUUUCUACAAGCAGAGCUGUACCCAUGUAUUCAGAAAGAAGGAAUGGGAGGAAUGAAAAAUGGGCAGAAAUGAAAGGAGGAGGGAGAGAGAAAAAAGAUCUCCAUGCUCUCUGCCUGUGGGAUCAGGUGCUGGAGAGAGGCUGAGCAAGCAGGAUUCACCCUCUGUGAGGCUCCAUUGAUGCUGACGGCAUUGCACCGUGGUGAGUUUGCUCCACUGGGCUAAAAGCAGCACUCCUGCAGCAUUUCUGUGGAUAGACCUUCCAAGUGAGACCCUGAAACCCUUCAGCACCCCUGGAUGCGGAUGGAGGCAGCAAAGAUGUGGGACCAGAGCUUGUACCAGGGGAGGCUGGGCUGGGAUGUGAGGGGGAGCCAGGGCAGGGUGAUGCUGACUUUUGCCAGGGCCCUGUGGUAAGGGACCUGACAGCAAGUGGACAGAGUUCUCCAUGGGGUCUCACAGAUUUUUCCCCAUCUAACAGAUGCUAGGUGCUCUUGCUGUCAUUAACCCAUGUGUCAAGACUUUUCCCAGUUCAAUGUGGGAAAUAGGCUGUGGGGUUUCAUGCCACCAGGAUCUGCCAAAGCUUUCAGGGUGCUGGGAGUAAGAAGCUCCAAAAGAGACUGGCUCCCUCUGAUCCCCGCUUUGCUGCUUCUGCAUUUCCUCAGAUUCCUGCCAGCUUAAAAUGGGCAUUGGGAGAUUCUGUCCAUGCAAAUCCCAGUCAUGCUUACAGGAAGACAAUACUCAUCCUCAAAAGUUUUUUUCCCAAAUAUUUAAUUCCUGGAGCUCUUUGCAGUAAUUAAAUUAUGUAACACAGAACCUAAAAGCCUCUAAAAACAUAAUAAUAAAAUAUUUAAUUAGCUCAUUAUGAAAGAUCAGCUGAUCUACCCGUUCAGUUUCUUAUGUGACAUUUGCCUGUGUUUCUCUUGUCUUAGUCUUAGGUCUCAUUCCUACGUAUGACUCACUCUACAUCAAAUGUGACUCUUAUCCUCCUUUCAUCUGCUCUAAAAGGAAGGAGAAAAAACUUUGUUGCCUUCCCAGUGAAACUCCCUGUUCUCUGGCAUUGCCAAGGCAAGGGUCAAUGGGAACAUAUUCACUUUUGGCAUCACCCUCAGCCCCCUUUUUUUCCUUUGGUAAGCAAGAGGUUCCUCUAUUGAUGGAGUGACACUGCAGAAGAGCCACUGCUGGUAGAGUCUGUGUCAGCCCUAUGGGGUGAGUGUCUGUCCUGUCAUCUCCUUCUUACAGGUGGGGAAACUGAGACACAGAGAGGGUAGAACACUCAUUAGCUCCUGUUCAGCGUGGCCCAUCAGAAGCAGAAAUGGAAGAGCUGGGACCAUGGUCAGAAGUAGGACUGUCCAUAAUUUCAUUUCUUCUUUAGCUCUCAUUUAAAAGCCUUUUUUUUAAUGAAAAAGAGAAUGCCAGUUGCUCUGGUGUAGCAAAUAAAUGUUUGCUCUGGGCAUUGUGUAAAUUAUCAAGGGCACUAGAGAUUAAGUCCUUUCUGGGAGUGGGGUGACAAGGCCUUGGCAUGUGCCAUGAAAUCUUCCUUGGAAACUCCUCUCCACAUGGCUGCUAGAUGUCUUAGUGACCUUCUUUCACCUCUGUCUCUGCUGCCUCUGAAGCCUUCACCAUCUUCCUCCAGGAACUCUUCUCUUGCACUGUCCCAGCCUGCUUCCUCCUAACUGCUUCCCAGGAGGUUUCAUGGUCAUUUUGUUGGUGUGUCCUUUCUCAUCAACUCAGAUUCUCAGCCUUUCUGUGCUUUGGUGUUUUUAUGGCUCUUAGCUGGUUACAGUUUUAGUGGGGAGGAGGCGGCUGUAAGCAAUGACCUGUGAUUUCCAGGGAAUAGGAGAGCAAGGAAACUUGAAGCAGCAUGGCCUCCCACUGGGAGCAGUCCCUUUUAGAGGCCUUGUGUCAAUUAUGGCUUUCAGAGGCAUUUCCCCAUUCUAUCUGUUUACUCUGGAGAAGCCCAGCAUGCCCACUCCAGGGCUCAAGUCAAACAAAUUCCCUCUCCUGGCAAUGGCACAAAGGUCUUUCAGCCUGUAUUUGGGAACUUUGCAUUGCUCAUUUCUGAAUCAACCUACAGCGUCAGGACCUGAGCUCCCGGAAACACGUUGCCUGAUGAAAAACACUCACUUUAAGGCUUCUCUGGCUGCUCUGUUGUACUUGUCAUCCUCCAGCUGGGGCUGCAGUUGAGGAACACACAGGCAGCAGAUGCCCAUGUUGCAACAGUCACCAGUGUACCAUGCUUUAGCUCUGCGCCUGGUGCUGCUGGCUGUAGUGUAGUGUACAGUACAUUUUCUACCUCCACAGGUCUGUUCCUGACAGCUAUUCCCAACAAACUCCAACAUAGACCCUUUUAUCCUGAAAUAUCCAUGGUUGGAGUUGUUCAGGGAUAUCCCCAUGAAAAGCUCCAUGGAGAGAUAAGCCCAGAAACACCAGCUAUGAGACAGCAUGUUGUGUGCUGAGCUCUCUCUGCAGGAGAGAUGCUUCCAUCUGCUACAUACCUCUUGAAUUCAGGAAUGAGACCCCAUGGGCUGUUUGGUACCUCCAUUGGCCUCAGCAGUCUUAACACCGGGGACAAGUUCAGCUCCAUGUACUCAUUAACCUGCUUCCCCAGAAGGGCCCAGGGCAGUGUGAGGUGGGCACUCACAAUGGUGCUUCAGCUGCGGCACUUUGUGAUGGGCACCCUCCUGCUAAUCUGCUAGUACAGCAUCUGGCUCCCAGGGCUGGGAGCAAGUCCUGACCAUCCCCAUGUCCACGGGAGGAAUGGAGGGCAUCUGCUGGCAAGGCAAAGCAAGGCAAGGUCUCUAUCCACUGUGCAGUCUAGAAGCCUUGGGCUGCGGAGGACUUUAGAGGUUAUUGGCUUAUAUGACUCUGAAAUGAGCUUCAUUCUUUUCUUCGGCCUCCUAAUGAUAGACACCAUCUCUGGGCUGUGAAUCAACAGGGACCAGGCUUCCUGGACAAGGGCUGGAGAAGAUGCUGGACUGAGGCUUCACAGCUGGAUUUCUACCUGCAGCCACAGCUCUUGAGAUGAAAUUCCACCUUGGUUUUCUUUAUGGGCUCUAUGGAGAACUGGCAGCAGCAGUGGAGUGCUGGUGGUGUUGGGGAGCUGCUGGUUCUGCUGCCCGAUACCAUCAGGACAUGAAAGACAGACUUAUUUCUUUAUCUGCUUUGUACAAGUGUGAGGACAUCAAGACACAGAAGUGGGAGCAGUCUUGCCCAGGGUCACAGUUUACAAAUUAUCAUGGAAAAGUCACUCAUCAGCUGCUGUGAGGGGUCCAGCAGAGGAAGGCAAAACUAACAGAGAAAGCGGCUGGUCCAAGCUGACUUCUGGUGCCGCAGACACUGAAGUACUUGCAAGAGGAGGAGCUUGUCGUGCCUCUGGCUGCAGAUGCCCCAAGUUUCUGAGAAGAUAUUGCAAAUUGUGGCACAUCCAUUUUGUGGUGGUCUUUCCCCAAUCUUGAGGUCACGUGCAAGGAAACAAGUAAGUGGUAGGAAAGCCAAAGGGAAAAGAACAGCUAUUCUUCUGGGGCUCCGGUGGGAGAAAUAAGGAUGUGGGGGUACCUGGGGUGGCUAUGGAGCAAAAGAAACCAAAACCCCUUUUCACCCAUUCAUUUUGCGUUUUCUGUGGGCCCUGCUCCCCUCUUCCCUCACCCUCCCCCAGCUUGCCUAGUAAUGCAGGAAGAAGAGGCCAAGGAGAGUAAUAUCAUGCUGGAGAUAGGACUGGAAGGGCAGUAAUUUAGAAUCAGAGGCUUAUAGUAUUAUUGCCUGCAAAGCCAUUCAUGGGAAAUGAUUCCCCCUAUCCCUAUUCCUCCCUCCCUCCCCACCCUGCGCUCCUUGCUCUGCAAUAACAAUAACAGAAAUGCCUUCAGGAGGCUUUUCUACUCAAAAUGCAGGCAAAGGAGCACUUUCCUUCACCACUCCUCUUCUUUCCCUUCUCUUCCCCUUGCACUCACUUGUCCCCCCUGCCUCUAAGCCUAACCACUGCUCCCUCCCCCCCACCACAGGAUAAAAAAAAUAAAAAUAAUAAUAGGGGUAAUAAGAGAGGAGGUAAUGGAACGUUCUCCAACUGGGCACAUGUCAGAAGCCAUUAUAUGUGGUGCAGAUUUGCAUAAUUCAAGAAGCAUCAAAUUAAAUUUGCAUAAUUCCUUUGAUUACACUUGUUAUUAAAUGUAAGUGACAUUGAUUUACAAAAUGGCCCAAUAUAAGGUUAAUAGCAAAUGUCACCUUCCAGCAGGGUGAAUAGGGUGCGUGUGUGGUGGUGGCGGUGAUGGAGGAGGGGGAGAGGGGGCCCAGGGAGGAAGGCAAGCAGACAAUUGAUUUCUGCUCCUCUCUCUUCCUUAAAGGGCUCAGGUCUCCUUUGCAGAGGAGCCUGCGGCUCUCCAAGGGCUGCAUUUGGCUUUCAUGUGGCCGCAGUGUCGUCACCAGUGCCUGCCAAGUGCCAUCGGUGCCGUGACUCUGCUGCCUCCCGCCCUGUGCCCAGGCACGGCUCAGCCACUGAGGCAGCUCUCGAGGGAGCUGGGCUGGUGGGAGCAGUGGGGAAAGCCAAGAAGCUGCUCUUCCUGGCCCAGGCAUGCUUGGUGUGAAAGAGAAGCAGCUUGCAAGGCAUCUGCAUAGAAAACUCUCAUUGAGGCAAGUUUUUUAAAGUGGUGUGUGAGCUGGACCUGGACUGUUGCCCACUGCCAGGACACCCCAUAUGUCUGCUGGGGAGGCGCUGGGAGGAAGCAGGAGCGAUUCUAGGAGUAGUGCCUGAUAUACCAGGCUCUGUUGGCAGGGGUUACACAGUAAAAACACAUCUGUGAUUAUGGCAAGACCUACAAGGUACUUUCAUACCUGUGCCUAGAAGUGAAAGAGUUUGUAAAGUUCGUGCAAGGUCAGUGGUGAUGCAGGUCCGUCACCAUUGUCCCCUUCCUCAUCCUGGUAUGACAGGACCUGGGAUCAAACACUGCCAGGUUACCCUGGGGGGGUUGUGACAGUAAUAAUAACCCCAUUUGGUUAAGGUGGACCUCAGACCAUCCUGACUACUCGCCUUCUGAGUAGAUCCCAUCUCUGAAUAUCUUUUUGCCUGUCUUCAUUCUGUACUUUUCUCAAAAUAGGGAGUGUUAUUUCAUGCAGGGAAACUGAUGGGUAAGUUGUGUGGGCACCCCAAGACAGUAGUGAUAAAAAACUUACACAUGUACCACAACUGGGCAAAUAGCAGACUUUCUAGUCGCAGGCAGUUUCGAAGAUGCACAUACCUGACCACAAUCUGGUUUUGGUUCUGCUGAAACUUUUUUUUUUUUUUGCAAGUCAAGAGGCUGAGGGGGAGAAAAAACCCACAACAUCACUUUUAAUUAAAUUAGAUUUCUUGUUUAGGGUGAAAAAGGAUGCUUGUUUUGGUGACUGAGCUCUGUAACAUUGUCUAAUAGCAUCCAAAUAAAAUCAGAACAAAAUGUCACUCUGUACCAACAAUCAGAAGGGUUUUUCAGAAUGUCUCAAAAGAAAAGGCACCCAGUUUUCUGGAAUAUUUUUUUCUAGCACUUUUCUUUUUUUCUCACUUUGAACAACACCAGCUGCUGUAACAGGCUGUGACGUGAACUCACAGGGCGCUCCAGCCAGCUCAGAUAUGAACUUUCCUAAAAAAAAGUGUCCCAAGGAGAAAGAUCUCUCAGCUGAUGUCCAUGUCUUCGUGAAAGGUACGAAGACUAGCAGCAGGUGGGGAAAAUGCCUGAUUGCAGGCCCAGUAACAUCUAUGAGCUUGGCCAUCUGCAAGGGGAGCUGUGAUGACAAAGUUAACAUAACGCAAUAGAGGCUUUGGAGCACCUACCGAAUCUUCUGGUAUUGGAGCUUUGGCAAGCACAGAGGAGCCUUGUUUACAUACAGUAAAAAGGGUAAAAAAAUUACAAGAUAUUAGAGCACAUGGGCUGCACAGAAAUCCCACACUUAUAAUGGCAGGUAUGGGGAUUUUAGGCACAUUCUGGGGUAUGUACUGAUGACAGGCAAUAUUUGCCACAGGAAGGGUACAGUGGUUGGUUUAUAAUUCCAGGUAGUGACUUUUCAUCUGUUUGCAGCUGAUUUUCAUUUUCUGCUAAUCAGCCCUCUGAAGCUCUAAAAGUCCAUGCCCAAGAUGAAAUCAGUGCACCCAUAUUUCAGAUUCAAACAAAAUAACAUGAAGUCAGAUUUAAUGUGAUCAUCUAGUGAAUGAGAGAUGUGAAAUAGAUUUUACAGGCCUUUGGGCAGUCUAAAAGGAAGCUGCUGUAUGAACACAUAAUGCCCAACACAUUGCUCCACAUUCAUCAAAGAACGUUGCCUUGCUACAUCCCAGGCAUCCUAUGCUUGCUCCACAGCAGAAUUUAUCAUGACCCUCCUGAACCCAGGUUCUCAAAGGUGCCCAGCUUCAGACAGUUGAAGAAAAUAUCUUUUUGGAGGUUAAGCACAUUCAUAGUGGCUAAUGGCUCAGGCUUGGGUCUUAUACCUGUGCUGAGAAUAAGGAAAGAAGAUGAAGUGUCUGGGUUGGGUGGACAGGCACUCAAGGGUGGAUGGAAUAUGCAAGCCUGUUGUGCACACCCUGGAUUCUCUGGUGCACAGGAGGCAUCUUGGUGUGAUGCCAGGAGAUUGCUCUUUACUUUGAGUAUCUGUGUCUCAUGAGCAGGUGUUGUGCUUCCCUCUGCAAAGCAGUGUUACCCCAUGGCCUGAUGAAUGCAUCCCUCCCACACCCGGGGGCAUCUUGGCACAAACUCUUCAGAGCAGUCCCGAUCCCUCUGUGUGCUCUCACAGAGUGCUCGACACAGCAAACCCUACGUGCAUGCGUCUUGCCUCCCUGCCAGGGCUGUCAGGGGCAUUUGAAGAGGAGAAGGGAUAUGCCCAGGCCUCGUCAGGCUAUGUCAACCCUUCAUGCAUUACCUGAAAACGAGCUGCUGGCAACCCCGUUUUGCAUGGUACUGGGAGCGGUGUUUCUCUGCAACAGCUCUGGCUUGAAACUCAGUCUCAGUCACACUCCCUGGCCAUCACGCCCCCUCUGACAUGGUGAUGCCGACUUGAAUGUGGACAGCAAGAAGUUUGUUUUAAGCAUGGAUUAAGGGGCUGUGGUAUUUGCCACUAGUUUUGGAGAUGCAAAGGAUGCCAGCACACGCAUGGCUGGUGCUCACAUACCUGCUCACAUCCUGAGAUAUUUUUGUGCCAGCAUAAGCCAUAACUCUCCCAGGUCAAAGCUGGCAUGGGUAGAGGCAGUUAGUGCUGGCAGCUGCUCCUGCCUCUUUGCCAGGGGAGAGGGUCAUUUCUUUUCUCUUCCUCUUGCUACUUUGGCAGCUGCCGGGCUGGUCCAGGGCUCCCCUUACUGUCAGGGAGACGGGGAGACGAGCCAGAGCCCCUGAGAGCCGGCAGCGGGCAAUCAGGCAGUGGAGAGAGAGAGAGACUCUUAUUAAGGGUAACCCUGGCUCUGGCUGACAAUUGCUGACAUCGUCAUAUUUAGCACCCGCAUGCAGUGAGCCUGAGAGAUGCUCGCGCACUGGGUGAGCCAACUGCAAAUUAAUCGUCAGUUCAUUACUGCUCUGUGCCUUUCAUCCUGACAGCAGCCUUUCAAACGUGGAUAUAAUUGGAAGGGUCCAUGUGGCAGGAAUUUGGUGGGGACUGGGAGGGGGAGCUGAGGUCUUUCCCUUUCGUUGUCCCUCUCCUUUCCUCUCUCUUCCUUUCUCAGGCUGAGUUCUGGGAACAAACGACAAGCUUAGGACAGGCUGAUGAAGGAAAUUAGUCUCUCCUGCCCCUCUGUCUCGCCCCUUCCACCUACACCCAUUGACAUAAAUUGAGGUCUUCGUACCAGGAGAAAUGUUUGCAUCCAGGAGGUUCCCUCGAGCUAUAAUUACCCUCAGCUUGCAAACAAAGUGUGCAGAGUAGCAGGGUCGCCUGUGAGAACUUGAAUAUGUGCAUCAUUGUUAUUGCUGGUGGUGGGUAUUACUGGUAUUACUGUUGUUGUUGUUAUUACUGUGCUGUGGGAAGGCCCCGUUGCUGCGCUACACAGAUAGAGUGGAAAGCGAAUCUGUAGCCUGGGAGGGAUUUACAGGCAAGGGCCAAGGCUGAGGAGCAGAGUUUAAGGUGUGAGUGGGACAGAAAUGACUCCUGGCACCCCGAGGAACUCAUUCUCUGAAAAACAAGAAACAAGCCCUUGGAUUUUAUUCAUCAUGACAUGACACGGGGCACAGUUCCACAGCUCAGUUUCCCUCCCAAUCAGCAUGAUGUAAAUAUGCUCAUCCUUGUCGUGGGAACAGCCACUCCCAGGACACUGCAGAGCAGAGUGAGUGCCUGCUUCUCCAGACCCAUGGCAGGAGUGGGCUGCUCUGAUGUGGCAAUGGGAAAUGACAUCCUCCAGGGGGUGGACAUCCAGGGCGCUAGAAGUGUGGGGUAGGAUUGGGUUUUUUUGUUUGUCUUUUGACUAAUAUUAGAAAGUGACAUUAAAAUAAAUUGACAAUGCAAUCCCAAUGUCCAGUUUGCCACACUUAAAAAAAAAAAAAAAAAUGGAAGAGGUUUCUUAAAAUUCUGGUUUUGUAAUAGGAAGCCAUGCUUGUGGGCAAGUGAUGCAGGUAAAAGGGCUUAUUUCGGAAACCUCUUUGGAGGGAAAUGGCCUUGGGAGCACUUCUGGGUAACAGUUUUCCUCCUUUUUGCAACUUCUGCUAGUUGGUGUGCAGGCACCUUCCCAGUGUCCUGCUCUGCUGUGCCAUCCUCUCCAAGCUGCCUCUGCACCAGGCUCCAGCUCUCGUUGGGGGGAUGCAGCAGCCGAGGGGCCAUGGAGGGGACCUGGUAACAGACUGCUGGGGAAGGCUGGGGGUCUGUGCUGGCCUGGUGCCUCUUGGAAAGAAACUGGGAAGGGUUAGCACUUCCAACAACCUGUUUUGUGGCUUCCUGAGUUGUGUUAAUUUGCUUCCCUCAGUGGUCUAAAGGAUGAGGCUGUGGUGCUUCUCCAUGAGACAGAGGGAGUCGUGCUGUGGGGACUCCGGCCCCCCUUCGCCGUGUCCCCCCCUGCUCCUCCUGUGCAAAAGUUAUUGUCGUAUUCGGUGGAGUCUCAGGUAGGCAGAUGAAUGGGAAAUGUUCCUCUCCAUUACUAGCUGCACUUGACUGGAGUCUCAUUACAUUACGAUGGCGCUUUAGCAGGCGAAUGGGCCUUGCGUCUGGGUUCCCAGCACCCCUCAUACCUCCCUGAUAACGUAAAUUACCCUCCGCCUCAUUGCCUCAAAUGAUCAAACAUCAAAUUGCUAGUAAAAAAAAAAAAAAAAAAGAGUAAAAAAGAGAGAGAAAAAGAGAGAGAGGAGGGAAAGGAGGAAAGCUGAACAGAACUAUGGGUUGAAUCUGGAUGGUUUGUCAGCAACAAGAGAUGAGUCAAUGGCUCUUAAACACUUACUAAAGAUGAAUCCCUUGAAGGCUUUGAGCACGGUAAUUUCAUUGACAUUAAGGUACACCUGUAAAACCCAAACAAUGCUUUAUAACUCUAAAUUAGACCAGUCAAGACCUGCUACUUCAGAGCACCACUUUUGGUCUGGAGUGGGGGAUCAUCAGGUAACCUUUGUCUCUUUGUCAGCAGCUUCAGCAAAGAUGAGAGAGGCAGAGAGGCAGAGACAGUACAGAUUUAGUGUUGAUUCUGUGGUUGAACAAUGUGCCAAAUCCUCUGCCUUCUCUUCGCCCCCCACUUCCUGCCCCUUGGCAAAUUUUGCAAGCCAGAAAAACGGCUCCAGGAUGAACAAAACAAGAAGGAGAAAAAGAGAGAGAUAGGUGCUGGGAAGAGCAGGAGCAGAGCAGGUACACACGGGGCUGGUUGGCUCUGUGCAGAAAAAUAUGGAUCUCGGCAGGGUAACGAGGCGCAGUGGCAAGAGGAGGCUAUACGUCUUUUCUCAGUAUUUAAACGUGUGCUUAAUAUGGCGCUCAGUGGAAUGGUUAAUCUGCUAAAGCUGGUAGUGUUUGCUGUAGUACUCAGAGAAAUGUUUACUGCAGUAUUUCAUGGGGAUUGUGUUCUGGAUGGCACAAAAGGAGGAAUCGCUCUAGCGUACCGGGGAAAUGUUCAUUGCAAAAUAUACUGGAAUAUUAAGAGGUUUAUUUAGUGGCGUACUUAGUAUAAUAUGAAAAGAGUUAAGUACAGAGUGUUUUAUUAAUAUUUUUGGGGUGUGAAUGAAUUUCAGUGCUCAGGAAGGUUAUGGAGAAGCAAUUCUAGCAAAGGCUGGUUAUAUUCAUAGAUUUAUAGAUCUAAAGACCAUAAAAGACUCUUUGAUCAGCUAAUCUGACCUUCUGUAUAACACAGGUAUAUACAGUGUGGACAUACCUCCUGAUUCAGCAAAGCACUUUAAGCACUUGCUUAAAUUUAAAGUAUUUUAGUUGCCCCGUGGACGGCAGAGAAGAUAACCCUAUUGAAUCAAUGGGACUAUUCAUGCCCUUAAUGGGAACUGGGUGUUUAGGCAUUUGCUGAAUUGGGACCACAAGAAGAUAAUGCAGCUAAAUGAGUAAUUCAUAGCCACCCAUUUAUUCAACUGCUUUUGCCUUCUUUUCUGCUUGCGGAUCACUCUGGAGCCAAUCGCCAUUUCCUGCAAUGUAUUCAUUGUUUGAAGUCAUUCACUGAAUAAUUUCAGUGAAAACUCUUUCUUGAUAGCUUGCUCAUAAACAGUUCAUUGUGAAUAUGGGAAUAUAUGCACAUACAUUUUAAGAAUGUGUGAGCGCGCACACGCUUGUUUGUGUUUGCCUUAAAUAUGUGAACACACAUGCACGUACACACACAAAUGCAGGGUUAGGAGCUUCAGCUACAGUAAAAGACACAGCUCCCAAACGCUGGUGAGGUUAGGCUGAUUCCAACCAGCUCACCCGCAACCCUGCUUCCCAGUUUCAAGUUCCCUUUGUUUUGGGUGGACCUGUAAUGUUUCUGACCCCUGGCUGCAGCUAGUGAGUCUUGAGGUCCAGUUUCCAAUGCAAAUAUUUACCUAGGGAAUUUUUUAGAUGUGCUUUUGUGAUUUUUCUCCUCUGUUCAUUCAUUACAUGCUUGUUUGCAACAUAUCUCUCACUGUAAAGUCAUCUGCUGGGAAUUUUGCAGAAAGUGAAAUGGUAGAAGGUACAAAAUUCAUUGGAGUGAAUUCAGCAAAUCAGCACCAGUGGUGGUGUACCUGUACCACACUCUCCAUUCCCUCUAUUAUUUACUCAACUGGUCAUGAAUCAGUUCUGAUUUAUUUGGAAUGCAUUGCUUAGGGAUUUUCCAAGUCAGCCAGGGCAUAUCUUCUUUAAACAAGUGUGUUCGCAAACUUCUUGUGGCAUGGAAUCAGUCAAUUAAGUGACAUGGCAUUUUUUUAAACAGGAACAAAAUUGAAGAACAGGUACUAUGAAUGAGGCUGGAAGCUUCGCUGGUGGAAUUGUGUUUGUGCAGUGGCCAGCUCCUGUUCUCAUGCAGACCUUAAUGUGCAUUAUGCAUUACAACAUGGGAAUAAUUUGUUUCUGAUGCAGGCUGCCAGAAAUGUAUUCUCUCUAAAAGUCACACUUCUUUUUAAGAUUCACUUAUGUUUUCAGGAAAUCAAAGGAAUUGCCAUAAUAUUUAGGCCUAGAGUACAAGUGGCUACGAAUUAAGAAUUGAACAUGGUUUCAGUUUAUUUUCCUUCUUUACAUUCUCCUCAGCACCAGAGAGGGAUGUGAUAUAGACUAGAUGUGAGCUGGGCAAUUGCUGUAUUGGGGCAGUUCAUUUAAGUGCAGUCCAUGUGUGUGAGAUCGGUGACAGUUUGAGGUUUUUCACCAAAGAUGUGCAGAGAGCACGGAUGCCGCUGUAGGACACAUGCACUGGUGAUGCUGCAGAGCCAGUCAGUUGCUGCAUGUUCUCCUCUUGGGCUCCGGGCAGCCAUGGCAUCUGAAAUUGCUUUUGAAUAUCCCUUUCUUUCAUCUUCUUCCAUUUGUCCAACUGAAAAUUAAGAGAGGUUUGGUUUCCACUGCUGGCAUUUUUUUUUCUAGAUAUUUCAGCAGAACAGAAAGCUGCUGUGUUUCUUCCAGUCUGAAUGAGAUGUGUUGUUUACAGAUGACCACUGUCCUUUUUAGAAAAGCAGUUAUGUUUCACAAAGGGAACACAUUUCAACAUGAAAAAAAGAUUAUGAUUCUUUUUCCAAAAUAGAAAAGGAAAUAUUUUAACUUUUCAAAAUUACCUCUGCUAUUCUUCCCUUGUGGGGGAUGAUUGGCCAAAUUUAGCGAAAGCUAGCAAACAGCCUGAGUCAGCUAAAAGCAGAAUUUAUUCUGCCGAUAAACUUUAUUCACUGAAGUAAAAAGAGAAACUGCAAGUCCUGAUGCUGCUUUUCAAAAAGUUUGCUUGGUGUUGCUGUAUCAAAUAUAUCUUUAAAACAGAGCAUGCAUCCUUCUGCCAAUAUUUGCAUAGCGUUCAAAACAACAGGGAGCGUUUGAAGGUAUUUAGUAACGGAGGGAUAGGUUGCAAGCACGGGAGGCACAGUGUUUGACAGGGCUGUGUAUGGGCCCUGGCAGAGGUUUAUUUACACUGUGGCUCAGUUUUAGUUCAGCCUGCCUCUGUCAAUGUAGCUCUCUUUUGAAUGGAGAGUUUACCACUUGUAGAUGCAAAGAGUCAUUUAGGUGUUAGUUUUGUUUGCCAAUACAAACUGUCCAUUAGCUAUCUUAAUCCUCUGUCUGUCCUAACAGGCAAAAAAAACCCCACCACUAAAAACAAGAAGAGUCCAUGUAAAAUAUUGUUGUAAAGGAAAGAAAUGCCCUUCUCUUUGUUUUGUUUUAUUUUGUUUUGUUUUGUUUUGUUUUCAAAUAGAAAUAUCUUGCUUUAUUCAAGUUUCCUCUUCUGAAAGUUGCUGUAUUUUUCACUGAAAAUGGGGGAAUCUACUUGCAGAGAGUUUGCAAGGGGAAUAAAAAUGCUGACUUCUUUCAAUGUUUUGCACAGAAAAUGAAAACAAUUUUCAGGAGCUGUUCUGGGCUGAACUUUCAGCAGGUAUGUGGCUAAGUGGGACUAGUUUAUGCUUAUUCUAUUCAUCAACUUCCCAACAUUGUUUUGGAUGAAAUGCAAAAUCAAAUCCUGCAAGAUGUGAUCAUUUAGGGUACUGUGGCAUAUUUUGAAACAGUAGGGCUGUUAGCCCCAGCAUCUUGGCCAAAUUCCAGCCUGGAUAAUUACAUUCUGCCGGCCUAUAUUCCAGCCUGCAGUUUAAAUAGGAGAAAAAAAAAAAAGUUAUCAUUUCUCCUCUGAGAAGUCCUGCUGUGUGAUGACUGAUGAUUUUCCAUCCCAGAAGUAGAUGCAUUUCAGGAAACAUUGCCUCCAUAUUCCUCCUUGUCUUUCCCAAUGGAUAAAAUCCAUUGUGGAGAUGCCCAGGCUAGCUCCUUUGUGGCAAUAACACAGCAGAGCUGACAAGGAUGGAGCUGUGGUGCGUUAUACCAACCCCUUCAUUGUCACACAGCCUUCGCUCUAUAAAGUUCUGCGUCCUACAUAAGGUCUAGAUGCCCUACAAUCCACAGACCAUGGUCUUUGUCUUUCUGGCAGCCACAGGCUGGGGGUACUGGGAGGAUGCACGGCGAGAGGAGGGGGCAGGCUGGCAUCAGAUGGAAAGAGGGAGGACUCACUGCCGGGCUUGACCCGUGCCUGUAAUUUGUAAAGAGCAUUUUUACACCAGAUCAAUGCUUUCCUCAGCAUUUUAAUGCACCCCAUUGGUGUCCUUAAACUCUAAUGAUGCAGUCUGUGAGAAGCUGCCAUUUAUUACCCACAGAUGGGGUGAUAAUUAUUGACAAGAUUGUAACUAAUAAUUAAACCCAUUUGCUCCUUUAAACAAGUUGGUGUGAAUUAUUUGCAGAGAGUUCUUUAGCAGGCCCGUGGCCACUUCCACCGUGCAGUGACGCUGCCCCGGAGUGGGCCCACCACCAGGGACCAAGGGAGGCUGCUGGUGGAAGCUGGGCUGUUCACACCCCUGGUGGGAGUCCUUCCUCUCCAGCUCAGUGUGGGGCCCGUGCUUCUGGUUGUGUUAGUAAGAGGUGUGUGAACACCACCAUGCUCCUACCCAGUCCUGAGGGCUGUGCCUUCUGAGCCCAAGCUCCUGCCAGGUCAAGGGGCUAGCCCUGGCCCUGCUCAAGGGUCUUGAGUCAAACAUGGAGCCACGGAUGGAAAAAUCUCUAUAUGAGAGCUUUCCUUCUCUUCCUCAGUAUCUUAAGCCUACCUCUUCUGCAAGAAGAGCAAUAGUCACAUAUUCACCAUUAUAAUGUUUAUUAUUCCUCAGGUCAAAAUUCCAUUCUCAUCCCAAAGCAAAGAUGAUGGGACAGAAUGGGGGAGGAUAUUUUCUCCAUACUUUUGUUUCUUUAGGGAGCAGAGAGAUUGUAAAAGGACUGUUUAACCCUCUGUAAAUGUGGUGGGGUGCUUUUAUGGUACUGAGGACCAAAACACCAACUGCUGCCUAACACUCGUGGUGGGUACAUGCAAAGGAGUGAAGCUCUGAUUCUGGGGGCUAGGAUGGAAGUGCGCAGGGGGACAAGUGCUGCUCUGCUCGCCAUUGCCAUGGGGCACUGGGCAGAUGAAAAUGUGAGCAGUCCUGCUCUGUGCAGCUGGGCAUGGCAGAGGUGGGGAGCAGGACAGCGUGUGCUGGCUGGCGUGGAGGCUGGUGGGGACGAGGUAGGGCAAGCAGAGAGCAGCUUCUGCAGCACCACACCGUUUGGAAGCCUGCCUGGGGGAGCUGCCUUCCCCUGGUGUACAUUCUGAGGGAGGGUGUAAAUCUAAUCUCAGUGCUAGGGUCCAUUAGCAUUAGAGGGGAGUACUGUAUAUGCAUUCAUUCCCUGCUCUCACCCCUGGAUGACAGAGUACCCCCCUAUGUUUUCUGCUUUAGCACAGAGAAAAGGCUGCCCAUUAAUUCUCCAGCAGCGGUAGAUAAUGCCAUCGUAAGUCUUAGGUGCCUAUGAAUUUUGUGAGCAUUUUACAGUAAUAAAUACCCCACACUUGUGCAUAUAAUGAGUUGUGUAUCCCUCAGUUCUGCCCUAUGAUCUAUCUGUCCUUUUACAGAGGUGGGUCUGGUUCCUUCCCUUGCACUCCUGGUUCAGUACUGGUGUAGCUUGGCCCAGAGGCAGGAGAUCAGGACAUGGCAAAAAGAUUUGUCUUGAGGGAAGGAGAGAUGUGAUUGUGGGCUCAGGGAUUUAUUGUACUUUAAGUGGAAACCUGAGCUGAGAAGCUGAAUGCAAAGCAACCAAGUUGUCCUGAACAAGUCUCAUUAUGUCUGUGUUGUCUGUGCCAUCUCACCCUGUUCAAUGUACUGGCAGCAAUAUUUCCCCUAUUACUACCCCCCCACCCACCACCGUGUAUACCAUAUUGUACAGGCUAUGAAAAGACAGUAAAAAUUUAUAUCCACAGAAGUUUUUCUGCCUACUUGAUUUUGUCUGUGGUAUCUUGCACUUUCCCCUUCUUCAGUGAAAAAGAGUAUGGGAAGACUAAUAGCCUCACAUCUACACAUUGUAGGAUUUUAUCCCUCUUUUCUAAAAACUCCACUAAAGCCUCACAGGAGCAGAACUCACUGUGCAAAGGUAAGCAAUCACCUCGCUGUCUUAAACCUACUGAAGCCUGGAUUCAACAGGCAAGAAAGUCAGGCUUUAGGGCUCCAAGUACUGGGUCAGAAAGACUGUGGCCACAUGACACAAAUGCUGAUCUGAUGUGAAGCUGAUCUGCUAAUUCAGAUCCUUUCAGGGAGUGCUGACAGGUUAACUUCUCCUGGCAGACUCAAUGUGCAUUUGGUAUUAUUUGACUGUGACUCUGACUUUAUACCUUAAAAUAUCACCUGUCAUCCCCCCCCGAGCUUGCAGAAAGCUGGAAUAAAAUUGAAGCUGGCACAAAAGCUGUGCAGCGUGUGCUCUGGAUAACUUGGUAAGAUGUGAUGCUGCAAGUUUGCCUGACCUGGGUCAGGUCUGUACAGCUGGCUCAUCCUAAACCGUGCACAUCUGGCAGCAGCACCCGCAGGAGCGUGGCUGAGGCCUCAGCCCCAUCAAAGGAUGCUCACACUGUUAACUGUAACCAUCAUGUUGAACUCAGAGGAACUAUUUACAUGCUCUAAGUAAAUCACAAGCAUAAAUCUCUGCAGGAUCAAGGCUGCAGAGAAAACUAAGAGAAGGUGCUGAAGAGGAGUAUGUCAAAUGGAGCUGUGGUCGAGAGCUCGCUGAGACUUAAACAUAACAUUUGAGAAAAUGAGUCCAUUUGUUUCAGAGGCAUCCUGAACAUUGGCAUGUAGUAAUUCUGUAAUGGAUCCAUUUAACCAGUCCUAUAGCUGAAAUAUCCUUAACAAAUAUUUCCUUUAAUAGCACUUAAAGAGAGAGUGCAGGCAGAGAAAUUUUAAAGCACAGAUGCAUUAUUGCUGAGUUCCAGUUUUGAGGGCUUUCAAAGUACCAAGGUAAUUUUUCUCCAAAUUUGGCUCAAUAUUUAACAAAUCAAGUGAGAUCAGGAAGCAACCUGAGGUCAACAUUUUUAACCUGAGUGGUUUGCUAGAUUGUCCCAGCUGUGCAAUAACAAACAGAACAAGUGCAUGUUGUAUUCAAAGGUAAUUCAAACAAUCCUUGGAAACUUCAUAAUAAAAUCACUAAUCUGGAGAGCAAGACUGGAACAAUGAAAACAAGGAAGAAGCCUUUCCGUGGGAGAUGGGAAAAGCUUGCAGAACUGGGAUCUGGAAUCAGAAGAAAAGUCAGAUUUCAACCUUAGCAGUAGUGAUUAAGUACACUAACUCUAGUAAUUGUUAAUGAGCAUUCAGCGUGAGACAAACCAAAUUGGCAUUUGUACAGAAGCAAGAUGGUCAGGUUGCAUCCAACCCAAGGCAGCCCAGAAAAGAGCGAAUGUAAACCACAGAGCAUGGAAGCAGCACUCUUCAAAGUGUUUCUCAGCCUCAUGGCAACCUGCAUGGUGGCUGCUGGAGGGUAAAAAGACCAUUGGGACUGCGACCCUUUGGAUCACCAAUGUUAAAGAGAGGUCUUCAGGCACAGUUGGGUGCCCACUUUCAGAGAAAGCAGGUCUUUACAGUCCCCCUAUUGCCAGAGCCACCUCUGCUUCCUUCUCUCCAGGAUCUCAGAGUAAAUGCUGUGCCUCAGGUCACUCCAACAAUUGCUCAUUGUGGUUUAGCAGGUAGAUGUUAAUCGGGCUGUCCACAUCACAAAACCCUUUGCAGAUCACCAGCAAGGGCUCUCUAGGCCACCAGUGGCCCACGGUCCUGUUUCAGGAGCAAUGUGCCAUAAUAAUGUAUCCCUAACCAUGCUUUAUACCAAUAAGUAGGCUAUAACCCUGUCAAGGUGUGCUGGUGACUCUAUAAACCAUGAGACCUGAAUGGUCAAUGGUCGAGUGGUUUAAAGCUGUCACCAGAAUACUGAGAUAGCCUUAUAAGCCUUGUGCUGCAUGGCUGGGGAUACAUUAUUCACUAUAAUAUAUGGUAAGAAAUACCUGCGCAGGGUCUGAAAUGAACUGCUUUAGCCACUAGCCAGCAUGGCUAGUGAUCAGGGAAAUCCGUCAGCAUUUUCAUGUGCAACGGGAAGCAAAAAGAGAUAGACACCGGGGGAGGGGAACUCGUCUUCUCUGUGUAGAGAAAUUGGUUUCCGUGCAGGUGAUGGAGGGCGAGUAGGACCAGCUCCUGCCCACGAGCAUGGCUGAGCCACUCACUGGGCUUGCUGCAGCAGAGAGGGAGCACCCGGGGCUGGUGACCUUCAGAGCUGUGCAGCUCCAUGUUCCUUCCCCAGCCUGUUCUUCUGUUCUGUGGAGGACUCAGGAAUGACUUAGGCUGUCAGUUCAGAGCUGCUCAGGGAAGGCACGUGGGGAGCCAGGUAUGAGGCUCAGCCUGGCAGCAGGGGCAUGUGGGCAGCAGCCAGGGAUAUUGUGCAAAGGACCAUGGUCUGGUCAUUUGCCAGAUGCUUCUGCUUUCUGGCCCACAUCCAGUGUCAUGUGCAUCAUGGGUGAAGGUCUAAAACUGAUUAAGGUAAGUUGCAACCCAGUAGAAGAGUCAGAAACAGGGUUGAGGGGACACCCACACUGAGGAGGAGAGAGGUGGGUUGCCCUGUGUCUUCCAAGGGUGUCUUGGGUGGCACCAAGAAGCAGAGAGAUGGAGGUGUCUGUACAUAAGUAUGGGCAGGCAGAUGUCCUCAUGGCCAGGACCUGGGGCUCUGAGAGUAUGUUCUGGGUGACUUCAUGAGAGAAGCCAUCAAUUCUGCAUCUUCCUCACUCCAGCCAUAGCCAUGUGUGGGUUGCUGCAAGGGUGAGGGAGGAGAAAGCAGGGGUAGGUCUGGGUGAAAUAGGGUGAAGGGAUAUUCUGAAUGAGAUGGCCAGUAUAUGGAAGGGGUUUAUGACUAAGCCUCUGUUACCAACAACCCUGGAAAAUAAAAGAUUUCCCCACCCUGACAGCCUAUGCUGCUUCAACCACAGGAGACAAAGUCCCUGAGAGGAUGUCCAUGUGAGUAACCUUUGGUGUCCGGGCAGGGGGGAGAAACGAGGAGGCCUUGGGGGAUUUCAUUAGGAGAUGGGAGGGGCAGGAGGAAAUCCCUCCUCCUGAACAACAGAUGGAGCUAAAAUACCUGAAGGGCUUGGCUGGCUUUAUUUGUUGUAUACAUAUAUACAUACAUAUAUAUUUGUAUGCAUAAAUACAUAAAUAAAUGUAUCCCCCCCAGCCUUUAUUGGUCUUUAUCAGGAAAGGACCCAGGGACAUCCUUUCCCCUCACAGCAGCUGGAGACAAUAGUGCCCCUGGGGAGGACGCGGGGAAGGGCCCUGAACUACCCGGGAUCAGUAGCUGGGAGACAGAGGCUGUGGCGGAGGAAUCCGGGGGCUCCGAGCACAGGGCUGGUCGCCCCCUCGGCUCACUUGUUAUGUUAAGGGCCCAUCAGUGGAUCAGGGGCCAUGGGGUGCAGGGAAAACAGGGGGACUGGCCCUGAAUGCGGCCGCCCUGGCAUCCUUCUGUUCUCCAUAUGGGUACAUUGUCUGGCCCCCUUCCUCUGUGCUGCCUCUCCUCUCCCUACUGUGCUCACAUCACAUGUUGGUUUUCCUUUUUAUUAAAACCCUCGGAGCAGCCAGCAGGGUGGCGGGCACCAGGAAUUUGUGAAGGACGGUGAAGGAAGAAAAAUAAGUUUAUGUUUGUUGAGUGGAAGCCGCGUCCCUCCAUCCCCCUCCCUGACUGCCCUCCUGGCUCCCCGCCUGGGAUGGACCGUGCCUGGGGACAGCCAGAUUUGGCAGCUCAGGCGAAGGACACAGCGGCCAAUGCAGCACCGGGGAGGACAGUUUCCCAGGGAAGCCUGCCCCAUCCUGGUCACCCCAUCCCAAAACUACAGUCCUCCAUUGCAUGCCUAAUCCGGACGGGAGUGAGGUCCUGCUCCCUACCAUACCCCACCACAGACCAAAAACAUUACAUAAAUAUUUCCCCUGUAACACCCACCUCACCGCAGUGCUUGUCCUAUUGUGCCAGUAUGGGUAGGUCAAUGGGCUCUCCAACCAAGGAGGGGCUCUCUGUCUCACUCUGUCCGGCUCUCGGCAGGCCCUGUAGUUUCUAGGUUUUUAGUCUGUUUUAAAUCCCAGUUUCUUCUAAAACAGGCACUGAUUAAGAUCUUCUUAUCCCUUUCAAGCCCGUGCUUUUCUGUGCUUCCCAAUUUCUUUUUUUAAGCAAAACCUGUUUCAAAGAGUACUGUGCCCCAGAAAAUGCUUCCUGUGUUAUCACCCACCAGAAAGUAGUGCAAAACACAUUAAAAGUCUCUUCUCCAGUGAUAUUUUAUAUUUGAUGUCAGUGAAGAUAAAACUAAUGGUGUCAAGCAAUGUAAGGAAGGGGAAGAUUAAACAAAAUCUAUCCCCUGCAAAAACAAAGCAAUCAAUAUAACAUUAUCCUGCCGCAGUGGCUUUCAACUUGCUUUGAUUUGUGGAUCCCUAGAAAAUCUCUCAUGAAGUCUCAGCACCCCCAAAGAAAAUUCCCAAGCUGGAGAGCAUCAGUGACAUUGCUUUUCCCACCCUCCUUACAAUGAGUCCAUGUUCUUCCAGGAGUCUGCAGCCCACAGGUCAAAAAAUACCAUCCUACAGAACACCAGCUCAAAUGUAAAUAAGAAUAAUUAAAUAGUGAGCUUACUGUUGUUAUUGCAAUACUCUCAGAUCUGUCUUACCUGGAGAAUCUACUUUGACACUUCUGGGAAUCUCACACAGGAGCUUGCUUCAUCACUCUGGUCCUGUCUUGCAAGCCUGUCUGCUGCAGCAAAGAAAUAUCAGGUUCCUCUGUUGGCUACACAGGAGAAAUGCAAUAAAUUAUAGAUGGCUAGAAGAUUUCUGGACAUGUUUUGCUCUUGCAGGAAAAAUCCAACAACCAUAAAAAAGCUAUUGACCAAACUCAAACCAAACUUUAAAAUCUCUUGUUUCAUAUUUUUGCUUCUGCUUUGUGUCCUCUCUUUCUUUUUGCAUCUCUGACUUCAGUCAAACAUUUCUGCUGAGAGGGGAGCAUCACCUGUUUUUAACUGGCCUAGUACAAGAAAAACAGGAAAAUAGCAAUAAAGAGGGUUUGGUAUUUAAAGUACAAAAUAUUUUGUUUCUGUAGGCCACAUGCUGACAAUGCUAAUGUGACACUCAUGAAAAGUUGAAAAAUUCAAGGUGAGAAGUUUAAAAACUGCAAAACUUCUUCAGAAUUUCAUUUUCAUGAAAAAAAUGGAAAUAUUGCAGCACCUAUGCCUGAGACUAAGGCAGACAACAUUCAGAAAUAGUGCAAAAAAUGUCAAAGCAGAAAAGCUGUGUUUUUUCCAAGUUGUUCUACAGAUCUUUAAAGAUGCUGCUCCAUGAAAUAACGAGUGGUUCAUUCACCAACCCAUCAGCUUGGGAAAUAUAUGCAACACUAAUUCAUUUGUUUCCAGCUAAUUGCACUUUCAUUUCCUCCUCCUAUCUAUGCGAGGCUGUGCGUGCGAGGGUUUGCAGCGGUGCUUCCCAGGCAUCCCCAGUACCCAAACCCAUCACGGCGGUGCUGAGCCCAGCUGGGAGGCACAACCGCUUACUUUGCUUGUUAUGUUCUUCUGGGCAAACAAUAUUUGGGACCCACAGGGCUGGGGUAUGCAUGGACUGGCAAUCAGUCCUCUUAUGUUUUAUUCCUGGCUUCUGUCAUUGACAUGCUGUACAGUUGUAGUCAAACAAAUGAACUUCUCUACAUCUUAGUUACCCUUUCUGUAAAAUGAAGGUAAUAAUAUUUAUCCAGCUGGGAUGCUGCAAGCAGUAAUUAAUGUGUACAAAUCACUUUGAAUUCCUCUAACGAAGUGCAAAUUGUAUUAGUCCCCACAGAAACUGGUAAUAGGUUUGUGUCUUUCUCCACUGAAGGUCUGACCUCAAUCCCCUGGGGUAAUCUUGAGGAAAAACUCUUUCUACUAUUUGUAUUACAGCAGCUCAUAAGGACUUGUCCAAGGCCAGAAUCCCCAUUGUGCUCAGGGCUGGUUGUUCAUACAGUAACACAUCCCCACGCUCUAGAGACCUUAUAUUUAAACUGGGGAAAGCUGGGAGAAAUGAAGCAUUAACGCUAUUCAAAGGUAAACACCCAAGGCACAGAGAGGGAACAUCUUGCUGGUAGUAAGUCUAUGAACCAGUAUAUGUUUUUUCAGAAGAUCGUCACCUCAGAUUGACUUCCCAACUCUGCUGAAUUCUCACCUCUCUUGGCUGGACAUCAAUAUUUCCCAUUUUGGUGAGUGACGAACCAGCCAGAUGACAAUAGAUGCAGCUUGCUUCUUAUGGGAUGCUUGGAGAGAGCAACGUUAGGAGUUUGCAGGGGGAGGACACAAAGUGGCUUUGAGCAGGGAAUCUUUCUGCUAUGAGAAGAGAGCAAGAGAAUCUAAGAAGUACUGGUUAAGUUGGUUUUGUAAAACUUUGUGAAUAAACAUAUGGGCAAAUUUGGAUGUAUCUCCAACAACUCUUCUAGCAUUUGUCAUGUUCUUUUUUUUUUAGCUGAUGUAACUAUGAAUUUCUUGUUUCUGCACCUGUACCUUGAAUAGAGCAGUAAGUUGUUUCACGAUUAAUAUAUUGUUUUUUUUCAUUUUUCAACUGCUGAAAUGGUCCAAAACUUGAUUCCAUUUUUAAUCUGAGAUUAGAAAUCAGUUUAAAUCGUGCCUUUUCUGAAGGAAAAUAGAGCAUAAAAAAAAGUGUGUCACAAAAUUCCCUGCUAGUGACAAAGAUGGGCUUAUGAUACCGUUCACAUUCUGGUUUUAGUUGUAAAAUACUGCUCUGUGAAAAGCUGCAUGUUUCACAGGCACUGCUGAUGUUUCACAGAGAGCAAAGUCAACUGUUAUCCUCCUGGCUUCCUGGUCCUCAGAUGCAUGGCUACUAAGGUCCUUCCAACGCCGGUAUCCAGACGGGUCACCAGAUUUUCUAGGUGAAGAUCCCACCAUUUUCACUACCUCUGCUCUCCCAAAGGACCUCAGGCACUUAUAUAGACGUCCAGCCAGCAAGGGGAGCCCCUAACCCCUGAAGGCACCUCCUGCUGGUUUCAGCACCAAGGAGGCAAGCUAAGGGUGUAUGACCCAAAUAAUCUCACUGCCAAUGGGAUAAGACAAAGGAUAAAUGUUGGCAUUAUCAGAGAACUGGGGAGAAGACGGCAGGGCUAAAGCCUCUGGUGGUGUAAAUCAUAUGCACUCAUGGAUUUUAGACGACUGUGUUGAUAUACACCAGCAGGAGACUUCAGCAUUUAACACACUUAAGCCAUGAGCUCCUUUAGUGGUCAAGCAAUCACAUGUUGGAAUGGAGCUACCAAGAGAGUGGGCACCUCUCCUUGGGAGAUCCCUCCCGAGCAGCCGGCAGAAGCCAAGCAGGACUUCCCUUCCUCCCCUUCCUUCACCUGCCCACUGACUGCCCAUGCUGCCCACCUCUCAGAGCCGGGGUCCCUCCUCCACCACUGAUGCUUGGCUGGAGAACUGGGAGCUGUUCAUAGGCAGUAUCCAAAGAUGUCUUUUUGAACAUAGCAUGUGGAAGGAUGGGAGCAUGAGGGGAUGGGGGUGGGGAAAGAGGAGAGGUACAGACACAGCACUCCUUGGCAGUGAUUUAUAGACUGGGUCAGGCACAAAUUGACUCGUAUGCAAGAAAUGUAAAUGGAAUCGAGACUUUUGAUGGAGAAGCUCAUUUUCAGACUUAAACGCUUUAGAUUAAACACACUCACACACAAAUGCUGGCGGGGAGGGUGUUUUAUAUAAUUUACAUUACAAAUCAAUUCAUUAUCCACAGAGGCAGGUUGCUCUGAUUUUCAAGGAUCGGAGAUUUGAUGAAGAGGAUUCAUUUCAAGAAAUAAACCUUUUAAAUUAACCGCAAGAUGAGGGAAAUUUCUUUAUUUAAAAAAUGCACCAGCCCCUUCUUUGUUUCUUUUAUUAUUAUUAAUAUUAUUUUCCAUCCAGCUCUGGGUCAUUAAGGAGGGUCCAGAAGUCACAGAUUGCCUUUCUGAGGGAGGAGAGCUGAGAACUUUGAAUGUCACACAUUUUAUCUGGCUCCAAACCCUUCAUUUAUUGCAACACAAUUUGUUACCUGUGUUUGGCUCUGUGCACCAUUGUGCACUGUGCACCAGGGCUGAUUUAGCAGGGAAUAUCCUUUCCACCUUGAACCUGAGAAGGUGAAAAUCCAUCCCAAAAGGGAUUGAAAAGUAUCAUGAAUGGCAGACUUCCAGGUACCUCAGAUGGGAAAGUACCAUCUUUGAGGAAGACUCUUUCUUGCUUCCUAAACCAUUUGGGUAUAGUUUGUUCCCUGCCAGUCAUUCCUGGCCAUAGCACCCCUGUAGCUCCCCAAACACCUCCUGCAACCUGACUGCAAAUGUAGCCUCCCAGUUCCCUGGCAUCCCACCUGGCUGUAGCACAUAGAGAGGCAAAAUGAAGGCUGGAGCAAGUGCCUUCUGUCUUCCGUGAGAAAACUACGGGGUUUUGGAUACUUUUGUACCAAAACCCAAACGAACAAAAGCCAAUCCUCUAGAAACACAGCUGCUCAACUAACUGUAAGUGACCACCUCAGUUGUGUGGAAUGAACCCAGGCCAGAGGCUCUUCACAGGUGAUGCCUGGAAAUGGACAGCUUUUGCAUCCUGAAGACAUUCCCAUCCCUCAGGGUUUCAGCGAGCCUUCCUGAUCCAAACCCCCUUCUGGGGGUUUUCUUGAAGCUAUUCUCCUGGCAGGAUGGUUGUGGCCACUGGUGAGACCUGGGAUGGGAAGGGCAGCACCUGCCCCACCUGAGUGUCCCAGUGCAGGGCGGGCGGGCAGGCAGCAAUUACCUGAGCUGGAGGGGAGCCAAGACACCAGGGUUAACAACCCUGAUCUUGUGAAAAAGACAGGCCAUGGGAUCUUUAAUGACCACAAAUGCCUAAGACCUUCUCUUUAUAUCUCUUCUGAAAAGCAAGCACGCACAUUUUAACAGGGGAGCUUUUAUUCUCAUGCGGAUGGGGUAGCCGGCACAGUGUCCUCUCCCAAGCGCAUCCAGACCUGGUCAGUACAACCACACAGAAGAACAAUGUGAAACAUGUUUGACCUUCACAAGUUUCCUUUACAGACCAGCAAGCUAAAACCCUGAAGGAAUUUUCCUGAGUGAGUUUGUCCAAAGCAAUGUUCGCCACCUCAUUCAAUAUUUGCCUGCAAAAAAAAUGCCAAUUAUUGAGAGACAGUCCUGGCUGGGCAUCAAUAGGCAGCCAGGUGUGAGAAGUUGAAGAGAAAUACAUCUCAUUAAUGUGGAAUUGUUUUUAGGUUAAUAAUCUUGCGUUAAUUUUCCUUUAAAAUAUUGUCUUUGACCGUUAAAUGCUCGCACUGUUAUAAAAAGAACGUAAUAAAUGAUCUUGAAGCAAAUUCUCCUGCCAAAUGUCAUAAUUUAUUUGCAUAAUUAGCUCUUAAUUUUAAUUCAAUAUGCAAAUCCACGCUUCCUUUAAAUUGCAGCAGCCUGUUUCCCGGCCCUGGCUGCCAUGAAUUUAUUGUGAGGCGGCUGUUUGAAAAGGCAGCUUCACUGCCUUCUGGGGAUGGCUGCCUGGGGGAGGGAGUGCCCACCGCCAACUCCAGUC